rnacentral:tRNA from 1 species
UGGCGGGGUCGUCUAAAGGUAGGACUCUGGGCCCAUUCCCCAGUUACGAUAGUUCGACUCUAUCCCCCGCAA